rnacentral:tRNA from 1 species
AAGGAUUUAAGUUAAAAAAACUCGUAACCUUCAAAGUUACAAAUAAAGACAAAGCUUUAAGCCUUA